rnacentral:sRNA from 1 species
CGGCCGCGAUGCCGCGGCUCCCGGUGAAGAAGAUCCGUAAGCAGAUGAAGCUGCUGCUGCUGCUGCUGCUGCUGAGCUGCGCCGCGUGGCUCACCUACGUGCACCUGGGCCUGGUGCGCCAGGGACGCGCGCUGCGCCAGCGCCUGGGCUACGGGCGAGAUGGUGAGAAGCUGACCAGUGUGACCGAUGGCCGGGGGGUCCACGCUGCACCAUCCACACAGAGGGCUGAGGACUCCAGUGAGAGCCAUGAAGAGGAGCAGGCGCCUGAAGGUCGGGACCUAGAUAUGCUGUUUCCUGGGGGGGCUGGGAAGCUGCCACUGAACUUCACCCAUCAGACACCCCCAUGGCGGGAGGAGGUGAGCUGGCUUGGCCUGUAAUGGGCUGGGAGGCAGGGUGGGGGCUGG